rnacentral:rRNA from 1 species
CGCAGCCAGCUGCGAGAUUUGGUGUGAAUUGCAGGACACAUUGAGCACUGAUUUUUCGAACGCACAUUGCGGCCUCGGGUCCUGCCCGGGGCCUCGCCUGUCUGAGGGUCGGAUAAGACUUGCCUAGGAGGUCUCGGUCUUCGGGCCGUGCCUUCAAUUGGCCGCGUCGGACUUCCCAGUCGGAGUCCGUCGGCCCAAGUACAAAGGAAGGACCUCAACCGUUCGACACGGGCAGCACAGCCACCUAGUGGAAGCUCGUCGAGUGGAUGAAGACUGACGUUCUUCUCCCGCGGACGAGACGUGGUUUCAGAAGGCUGCCCUGACAAGGACGGAUUCGUGGUCCCGUCGCGGUCCCCAAAGACAUGGGGACGCGAUAAGUAUUUCUUUUUGUCGACCUCAGAUCAGACGAGAUGACCCGCUGAAUUUAAGCAUAUC